rnacentral:lncRNA from 1 species
GUUUAUGCUUUCAAUGUUGCCGUUUCCAAAGAACCGUGAUUUAGUGUCUCAUAUAAAAGUACAGCAGGCAAGCUGGAUCCAUUUCAAAUUUACUAGUAAAAUUAAAAUUAGUUCUUUGAAAAUUGAAAAACUUUCAGCCAAGAGAUUCAUUCUGGUUUCAUGACAUUUGUAAAAUUGUUCUAUGUUUAAGGUUUUAGGUAUUGAAAACAUCUGUCCUAUUUCCUAAGGUAAAACUCAAUGCUAAAAGGAAUGACAGUGAAAAAAGGUGACUGAUGAGCUUUUGAAUUUCAACUCUCUUUACUACUUGGAGUCUGGAAAUAGCUUGUGAUAGGCAGAAUAUGGAUCCCCCAAAGAUGUCCACGUCCUAAUCCCUGCAAUUUGUGAAUAUGUUGCUUUUGUAAGGAACUUUGCAGAUGUGAUUAAAUUAAGAAUCUUGAGAUGGGAAGAUUAUCUUGGAUUAUUUUAGUGGGCCUAAAUGAAUCACACAAAUCUUCAAAAUCAGACAACCUUUUCUUGCCAUAGUUGGAAGGCGAUAUUCCUGCAGAAGAAAAGUUAAAAAGAUGCAACUUUGCUGGCUUUGAAAAUGGAGAAUAGGCCAUAAACAAAGGAAUGGAGCAGCUGCAAGGAGCUAAAAGACAAAGAAAUAGAUUUCCCCCUAGAACCUCCAGAAAGGAAUGCAGCCCAGCUGAUGCCCUGAUUUUAGUCCAGUGCAACCUGUGUUGGACUUCUAACUUCAAGAACUGUAAGGAUGGUAGGACCUACAGAUUCUUGAUUAGAUUAUAGAUGCAAAAAAAGAACCUGGAAUUAUUCCCCAAGAAGCUCCUUCUUCUGAAACCAAGAGGGUCCGACAGGGAUGACAUCAACAGAAGCUCAGGCUAGAAGGAAGAUGAGGUAGCAGUGGGCCUGGUCUGCCCCAACCCCCAGGAGUGACUGGCAGCACACAUAGCCUGAAUCGACAAGAUUUUAAAAAAACAUAUAUGUUUUGGUUUUCACAAAUUCUCCCACCUGUUGGUAAGUACUUUUGAAAAUUUAAAUCAUAGACUCAUUCUUUUAUGACAUUUUCCAACAGACGUUCCCAAUAUAAAAUCUCAGACUACCCUUAACUUCCUCUGAAGCCCAGGGCUCAUUUGCAUCUGUAAUUCUGACAUCUACCAUCUUACAGAGGGUUCUGUAAUUACCAAGGCAAUGAGCACAAGUCCCUGGUUCUCUCGGCAAUCCAACCCUCUGAAGCAAGAAAAUGCACCCCUCUGCCAAGUGAGGGUCUGUUUUUCUCUCCUUAAAAUCUGCAUGAAAUAGUUUGCCAAUCCCAGAU